rnacentral:hammerhead_ribozyme from 1 species
AUCUAGCUGACGAGUCCUAAAUGGAACGAAACACACAUUCUGGAU